GAUGAACGCUGGCGGCGUGCCUAAUACAUGCAAGUCGAGCGAACGGACGAGAAGCUUGCUUCUCUGAUGUUAGCGGCGGACGGGUGAGUAACACGUGGAUAACCUACCUAUAAGACUGGGAUAACUUCGGGAAACCGGAGCUAAUACCGGAUAAUAUUUUGAACCGCAUGGUUCAAAAGUGAAUGACGGUCUUGCUGUCACUUUUAGAUGGAUCCGCGCUGCAUUAGCUAGUUGGUAAGGUAACGGCUUACCAAGGCAACGAUGCAUAGCCGACCUGAGAGGGUGAUCGGCCACACUGGAACUGAGACACGGUCCAGACUCCUACGGGAGGCAGCAGUAGGGAAUCUUGCGCAAUGGGCGAAAGCCUGACGGAGCAACGCCGCGUGAGUGAUGAAGGUCUUCGGAUCGUAAAACUCUGUUAUUAGGAAAGAACAUAUGUGUAAGUAACUGUGCACAUCUUGACGGUACCUAAUCAGAAAGCCACGGCUAACUACGUG
rnacentral:rRNA from 1 species